rnacentral:rRNA from 1 species
UUUACAUGAAGCCUAGCGAUUGUAAAUUUAGUGGCGGACGGGUGAGUAACGCGUGAGGAACCUGCCUUUCAGAGGGGGACAACAGUUGGAAACGACUGCUAAUACCGCAUGACACAUUAGGGUCGCAUGGCCCUGAUGUCAAAGAUUUAUCGCUGAAAGAUGGCCUCGCGUCUGAUUAGCUAGUUGGCGGGGUAACGGCCCACCAAGUCGACGAUCGGUAGCCGACCUGAGAGGGUGAUCGGCCACAUUGGGACUGAGACACGGCCCAAACUCC